rnacentral:rRNA from 1 species
GACCACAGUCAUAUCACCCUGCAGCCCAUGACCGGUUACUCACUGAAGCUAAGCAAGCUGAGCCUAGUCAGUACCUGGAUGGGAAACCACAUAACCACAUGGAAAAUCUAGGUUGCUGUAGGAG